rnacentral:rRNA from 1 species
GAUGAACGCUGGCGGCGUGCUUAACACAUGCAAGUCGAACGGAAAGGCCCUGCUUUUGUGGGGUGCUCGAGUGGCGAACGGGUGAGUAACACGUGAGUAACCUGCCCUUGACUUUGGGAUAACUUCAGGAAACUGGGGCUAAUACCGGAUAGGAGCUCCUGCUGCAUGGUGGGGGUUGGAAAGUUUCGGCGGUUGGGGAUGGACUCGCGGCUUAUCAGCUUGUUGGUGGGGUAGUGGCUUACCAAGGCUUUGACGGGUAGCCGGCCUGAGAGGGUGACCGGCCACAUUGGGACUGGGAUACGGCCCAGACUCCUACGGGAGGCAGCAGUGGGGAAUAUUGCACAAUGGGCGGAAGCCUGAUGCAGCAACGCCGCGUGCGGGAUGACGGCCUUCGGGUUGUAAACCGCUUUCGCCUGUGACGAAGCGUGAGUGACGGUAAUGGGUAAAGAAGCACCGGCUAACUACGUG